CUGAUGCACAAGCCCACAGUAGGGAGCAGAAACCUAUCACUUUUGAGCGACUAUGAUGUGCCAGGCCUUGUUCAAAAACUCAAUGGCAGAGACCCACGUAUUGAGGGACUGAAGUUUCAGCAGCACAUGAGUGACCUUCGAAAUGGAUCCUCCAUCACCUUCAGAUGACUGCAGCCCUGGAUCACAACUUCACCACAACCUUGAGAGUGACCCUCACCUUGAACCUCCCAGCCAAGCUGUUCUCAGAAGGCCAGCUAACUUCCAAAAUUACCCCAGGAUUCAUCAUAUCAAGGGGCAAAUGGCUUCCUGUUUCUCUCUGUGUCCUCUCAGGGCAUUAGUGUCUGGCCCUCUCUCAAGGUACCUGAAUGCUGGGAGCCUGAAUCUGACAAUGCCCAUUGCACCUCACAAAUCAGCUUGAGACAAUGCUCACAUAUGUUCCCCCUGCUUCAUAUGUCUCGGUUAUACUUGAGUAACGCUCAUAUACUUUUACCCCAUUUUGUAUCUCUCAGUUAUACUUGAAUAACGCUCAUAUACUUUUCCCAUUUCGUAUCUCUCAGUUGUACUUGAGUAACACUCAUACAUUUUUCCCAUUUCGUAUCUCUCAGUUGUUACUCAGUUGAGUAACACUCAUAUACUUUUCCCCUGUUUUGUAUCUCUCUGUUAUACCUUGAGUAAUGCUCAUAUACUUUUCCCCUACCUUGCAUCUCUUAAUUAGAAAAAUGCCACACAUGGUGUUCCAGGCUACUCUCUCAAGAGAUUAUGUAAGUAAUGACUCCUAAACUGGGAAAAGACAUACAACUCUGCAGAUGAGUUUGAACUCUUUUCUCCUCCCUUCCUCCAGGUGGUUCCUUUCCAAAGAUGAUAUAAUUAGCAAUAAAGUCAAUAAAAUCUGGAUUUUUUUCUAACUCAUCCAAAAACUGUUACCCAG
rnacentral:lncRNA from 10 species